rnacentral:tRNA from 2 species
GUCGGCGUAGUGUAGCGGUUAUCACGUCUGCUUUACACGCAGAAGGUCGCCGGUUCGAACCCGGCCGUUGACA